rnacentral:rRNA from 1 species
GAGUGAACGCUGGCGGUAGGCCUAACACAUGCAAGUCGAACGGCAGCACAGGAGAGCUUGCUCUCUGGGUGGCGAGUGGCGGACGGGUGAGGAAUACAUCGGAAUCUACCUUGUCGUGGGGGAUAACGUAGGGAAACUUACGCUAAUACCGCAUACGACCUUCGGGUGAAAGUGGGGGACCGCAAGGCCUCACGCGAUUAGAUGAGCCGAUGUCGGAUUAGCUAGUUGGCGGGGUAAAAGCCCACCAAGGCGACGAUCCGUAGCUGGUCUGAGAGGAUGAUCAGCCACACUGGAACUGAGACACGGUCCAGACUCCUACGGGAGGCAGCAGUGGGGAAUAUUGGACAAUGGGCGCAAGCCUGAUCCAGCCAUACCGCGUGGGUGAAGAAGGCCUUCGGGUUGUAAAGCCCUUUUGUUGGGAAAGAAAUCUUGCCGGUUAAUACCUGGCGAGGAUGACGGUACCCAAAGAAUAAGCACCGGCUAACUUC